rnacentral:rRNA from 1 species
CCUACGGGAGGCUGCAGUAGGGAAUCUUCCACAAUGGACGAAAGUCUGAUGGAGCAAUGCCGCGUGAGUGAAGAAGGUUCUCGGAUCGUAAAACUCUGUUGUGAGGGAAGCGGUACCUCAUUAGAAAGCCACGGCUAACUACGUGCCAGCAGCCGCGGUAAUACGUAGGUGGCAAGCGUUGUCCGGAAUUAUUGGGCGUAAAGCGCGCGCAGGCGGCCUUUUAAGUCUGAUGUGAAAGCCCACGGCUCAACCGUGGAAGGUCAUUGGAAACUGAGAGGCUUGAGUACAGAAGAGGAAAGCGGAAUUCCACGUGUAGCGGUGAAAUGCGUAGAGAUGUGGAGGAACACCAGUGGCGGGUUUCUGGCUUAACUGACGCUGAGGCGCGAAAGCGUGGGGAGCAAACAGGAUUAGAUACCCUGGUAGUC